UCUAAUAUGACAGAAUUAAUGUAAUGAAUUUAAGCUUCAUCAAUAAAGAAUCAUCUUUUUUUAGAA
rnacentral:tRNA from 5 species